GCGCCCGUAGCUCAGCUGGAUAGAGCAUCGGAUUUCUAAUCCGACGGUCAGUGGUUCGAGUCCACUCGGGCGCGCCA
rnacentral:tRNA from 1 species